GUUGAUAUCAUAUUUAUUACAUUGCUUACAAAAUGUUUUAAUGUUUCUAAUUAGGUUGUUUGUUUUUAAUAACUUACCUAUCUAAUAUGGAUUACUUGUGCAAGUUAAAAUCAUAUCAUAUGCAAAUCAUUUUUUGACAAUACGCAUUUAAUAUCUUUCUUUAAACGAUUUCAUUAUUUAUUAUGCAAAAUAUUGUACAUCAUUAAUAUGAUAAAUAAAUCGACUGUAUAUAUAUAUGAGACACCCAACGUCUUAAAAUACAAACAUUCUCUUUUCAUUCUUUAAAGUAUUAUUCACAAAUCUUUCCUCUCAUACUAUUAAGGUACUACGACGAUGCUGCUUGUGUGCUAAGAAAAAUGUGUUUAUACGCAAAGGCUCCUCAUUUUUCAUCGACUCUGCUACCCACUUUGCCUUGGAAGUUCAAUAAACCUGUACAGCCUAAUAAAGGACUAACCCGCCAAGGCAAUGGGCACUCAGAAGAGCUACGUUGUGUCAUUGCUGUUAUUCGACAUGGCGAUCGAACUCCAAAACAGAAGAUGAAACUAAAUAUUACAGAAGAGAAACUGUUAAACCUGAUGCUGAAGUACAAUGGUGGAAAGUCAAGAGCUGAGAUGCGAGAGGCUCCAGCUUUUUUGUCAUCCAUCUUUUAUCAGAGCCUUGAUUCAUUUUAUAUAUAUAUAUAUUUUUUUUGCAGACAAAACUAAAAUGUGCAGUCCAGUUGCAAGACCUAUUAGAUGCAACAAGAAUGUUAGUUCCCCGUACAAGGUAGAACCCUGAACUCAACUCUUUGUGCAUUGUCUCCAAAAAGCAUGUCUGGUCUAUCUUUUCCAUGUGUUGAAUAUUGGUAACGGCAAUAUGGUCUUCCUUUUUUAUAUGUAGACCAGGUCGUGAUAGUGAUAGUGAUCCAGAAGACCUUGAACAUGCUGAGAAGUUUCGCCAAGUUAAAGCAGUUCUUGAAAAGGUUCUUUAGUACUUUCUCUUUUUUUGUUGAAUAUAGUCCGGAGAAAGUAUUACAUAGUAUCAUUUAGUAAUACUAUCUUAUAUCAUUUUUUUUACUGGUGCUUAAUUUGCAAUGUCAUCAUGUGUUUACUAAUAAUAUCUUUUUAUCUUUCUUGCUUCUCAAGGUUUCUUUGGUUAACAAGGACUCUUCCAUGUUGGAUGGUCUUGAUACUGCCAGCAUUGAAAUGGAAGCUGCCAAGGUUUGUCCCAUGACUUGAGUCAUUUUUUGAAGUGUGUGUAUCAGUCAAUCAACAAGAUUGAUUUCAUUAUAAUUGGACUAUAUAUGCAGGCUAGAUUGAAUGAGAUUAUAACGUCUGGCAAAAAAAUGAUUAAUGAAUUACUACUAUUUAUUAUUAUCAAAUCAUAGUAGUAAUUAUCAAAUUAAAUACGCAAAAGACAAAACAAAAAGAGAGAGGCAUAACAUAAAAUAAGUUAGUAUAUUAAAUU